UCCGAUAUGGUGUAGUGGCCAACAUGAUGCCCUCUCAUCAAUGAUGCGAGGUUAGGCAUAGCCCCGAGUUCGAUUCUCGGUUUCGGAA